UGGGGGAGGGGGACCUGGGACUCUGGGACAGGCAGACAUGGUCGUUACCCCACACUGUCCCCAGGUAUCAAGUCCUUCCUAAUAGUCUGGCCAUGGAGACCACAAAGAUAGGGUGGCCAUCUCAUUCUGCCCCCAAACCAAGGCAGUUAGGAAAGUGAACGGGGCCCAUGAACCUACUAACAAUCACACCAGGACGACAGAUGUCAACUGACACUGGGCCUGGAAAACCCUACACAUCCUAUAUGGCCAGGGUAUGCCCUGCACAGUAGAGCAUCAAGGACAAGGAUGCCGCUCUGGGGCCAGGGUGCUGAGCAGGACGCUGGGGGAGGGAGGAGAGGUUGUUGUGAGGACCUGCCAGGCAGGAAAAGAAUUGCUGGUGGUCUUUUUGCAGGGAGCGAAGUGUGAAAAGCAGUCCCUCCAAAACAAACGCUCACGGAGUUAGAGCAAUAACACUGACCUCUCAACAAAUGUUUUCGAAGAUUACCGACCGCUACCUAGGCCCGUGUGUCCAGCCCCAGCUGCACACUGGAAUUACCUGAGAGUGUUAAAAACAAAACAAUAAAGCCAAACUGAUGUCUCAGGA